CCUACGGGGGGCUGCAGUGGGGAAUAUUGCACAAUGGGCGCAAGCCUGAUGCAGCCAUGCCGCGUGUGUGAAGAAGGCCUUCGGGUUGUAAAGCACUUUCAGCGGGGAGGAAGGCGGUGAGGUUAAUAACCUCAUCGAUUGACGUUACCCGCAGAAGAAGCACCGGCUAACUCCGUGCCAGCAGCCGCGGUAAUACGGAGGGUGCAAGCGUUAAUCGGAAUUACUGGGCGUAAAGCGCACGCAGGCGGUCUGUCAAGUCGGAUGUGAAAUCCCCGGGCUCAACCUGGGAACUGCAUUCGAGACUGGCAGGCUAGAGUCUUGUAGAGGGGGGUAGAAUUCCAGGUGUAGCGGUGAAAUGCGUAGAGAUCUGGAGGAAUACCGGUGGCGAAGGCGGCCCCCUGGACAAAGACUGACGCUCAGGUGCGAAAGCGUGGGGAGCAAACAGGAUUAGAUACCCGUGUAGUC
rnacentral:rRNA from 1 species